UACGAAGGGUGCAAGCGUUACUCGGAAUUACUGGGCGUAAAGCGUGCGCAGGCGGUUCGUUAUGUCCGUUGUGAAAGCCCCGGGCUCAACCUGGGAAUGGCAAUGGAAACUGGCGAGCUAGAGUGUGGCAGAGGGGGGUGGAAUUCCGCGUGUAGCAGUGAAAUGCGUAGAGAUGCGGAGGAACACCGAUGGCGAAGGCAGCCCCCUGGGCUAGCACUGACGCUCAGGCACGAAAGCGUGGGGAGCAAACAGG
rnacentral:rRNA from 1 species